GUCUGGAGCUGGCAUGUCAGUUAACUGCUAGUAGUCUGUUGUUAUUUAUGUAUUAUUGUCAUUUUGUUUAUUUUCUUUGGUUACAUCUUCUGACAUCAGACUCGGACUUCUCUUGAACUGAAUUUUAAUGUGCGUAUUGUUAUGCGUUUACUUUUCUACAUUGGUUAGAGGCAUAGGGGGAGGGUUGAGAUCUCACAAACAUGUUUAACCCCGCCGUAAUUUUGCG
rnacentral:lncRNA from 1 species